AAAAUCCUUAUCCUAAUUGUCUGGAUCUCGAUAUGUGUUGUUGAACUGAAAUGAAUAGUUCUAACAGGUGGCAAUGCCUUAUCCAUUAAAUAUGCUGGAUUACAAAUAGUGUAUGAUGUGACAGCCAUUUUUCUUGUACUCUUUUUAGUAGUAGUAAAAUAUUCAAAUCUGGCUCUCUACGUCUCUUACAAAAUCUGCUGCCAUCGGAUGUGAAUAGUGACAUCAUAAGCUGGACAGAUCUUUUAUAAU
rnacentral:lncRNA from 1 species